rnacentral:rRNA from 1 species
GACGAACGCUGGCGGCGUGCCUAAUACAUGCAAGUAGAACGCUGAAGGAGGAGCUUGCUUCUCUGGAUGAGUUGCGAACGGGUGAGUAACGCGUAGGUAACCUGCCUGGUAGCGGGGGAUAACUAUUGGAAACGAUAGCUAAUACCGCAUAAUAGUAGAUGUUGCAUGACAUUUGCUUAAAAGGUGCAAUUGCAUCACUACCAGAUGGACCUGCGUUGUAUUAGCUAGUUGGUGAGGUAACGGCUCACCAAGGCAACGAUACAUAGCCGACCUGAGAGGGUGAUCGGCCACACUGGGACUGAGACACGGCCCAGACUCCUACGGGAGGCAGCAGUAGGGAAUCUUCGGCAAUGGGGGGAACCCUGACCGAGCAACGCCGCGUGAGUGAAGAAGGUUUUCGGAUCGUAAAGCUCUGUUGUAAGAGAAGAACGAGUGUGAGAGU